AUUUAAGUAGUUUAUCAAAAUACCAAUUUGUGGCAUUGGAGAUGGUGAAUGCCUAACACCCUUAAAUC
rnacentral:tRNA from 1 species